ACAACCACGCAGUGUGCCCGUAUCUGGAUCCUAGUCGCAAAAAUUAAAGUACGCAGAAAAACGAAAAACAAAUUAUUCCGGCUUUCGAGAGUCCGAAUUCGAAUAUUGUUAUUGGGCUAACUUGUUAAAAUAGCCAGCCGCGUGCUGCCAGCCGUGUUUUCGUUGGCGGAACCCCCAGUGGUAGUUUUCCACCUGCUUGUGCCGAAAGCCCAUAACCAAAAAGCAAUUGCAGACCUGCAGAGUUCCCUCCUAACCAUACUAAACAGAAACACACUCAGACAAACACCGUCUCGUCUCGGUCGCAUGUGAAUGCAUUUUAUGGACGCCCCAGACUCACUUGCCCGCGGAAGCCUCGAUCGGAGCCCUGGUCGGUCCAAGAGCCUCCCCAAAUCGAAACUGUAACAGAGACCGAAGACGAACCACAAUCACACUGAUCACCAUAUCCAUUCAGCUGUCCAACCCAGCCAAGCAUCCACCAUACUCACAAACCAAACCAAACCAAACCAAGCCACACGAAUCAAUCAGAUCAGAUCUCAUCAUCCAUUGGGUAGAGCAAGAGCAUGAGCCUGUGGAAGCGCAUCUCCAGCCAUGCCGACUGCGAGCAGCGUAUGGCGGCCUACUACGAUGAGAAGGGCCUGUUCGACCUGCGCAUCUGCUUGGCGCCCUGGAUCGAAGACAGGAUAAUGUCCGAGCAGAUCACACCCAAUUCCCCGGAGCAGUUGGAGCGAGUGGCCCACAAGUUCAACGAGGAUUUGCAGCAGAAACUCCUCUCGACGCGCACCGCCAGCGACCAGGCCCUCAAGUACCGUGUUGUGGAGCUCUGCGCCCUCAUCCAACGCACCCCCGCCCUUGAGCUCUACACCCAUCUGCGAAGCGGGCUCCAGAAGGAGCUCCAGUUGGCCACCGAGAAGAGUGUGGCUUCCAGUGCCGGGCAGUCGAUGCCAAUGCCAUACAACAUGAACAACGCCGGCUACAUGGACACCAGCGACAUAAUGGUGGGGGUGACUAAUGGUGCCAUGGCCCCCAGCCACAACGUCGUUCCAUCUCCCGGACUGGGAAUGGUCACCCCGAAGGUGGAGCUGUACGAGGUGCAGCACCAGAUCGUGUCCACCCUCCACGAGUUCACCAGUUGCCGCAACGCUCUGAACGGCCUCGUCCAGAACUACACCUAUAUGAUGAACUCGAUGCCAUCGCCCAACGCCGAGGUGCUCCUCAAGAGCCUCCUUGACGAGAAGGCCUCCAUUGUCAAUCUACUGCGGCGCAGCUUUAUGUACUACGAGACCCUGAACGACCUGGUCAUCCACGAGCUGAAGAACUGGCGGCGCCAGCAGGCCCUCGCCGGCAACGGAGCUGCCUUCAACGAAGGCGCCCUGGACGACAUCCAGCGCUGCUUCGAGAUGCUGGAGGCACUGGUGGCCCAAAUGCUAGAGGCUGUCAACGAGCUAAUUCGCGUGCAGCUGGGCACCGAUGAGCCAGAACUAAUCCAUCUGCGGGAGCAGGUGAAGAUUGCACAGAAGAACCUGGUGAUAUCCGCCUUCAUAGUGGACAAGCAGCCGCCGCAGGUGAUGAAGACCAACACACGCUUUGCCGCCUCGGUGCGCUGGCUCAUUGGCUCCCAGCUGGGCAUCCACAACAACCCACCCACCGUGGAGUGCAUCAUUAUGUCAGAAUUGCAGUCGCAACGCUUCGUGUCCCGCGGCACCCAGCUGGAAAGCACCAUGUCCGGGCAAUCCUCGGGUGAAAUUCUAAACGCCUCCAGCAGCAUGGAGUACCAGUCGAACAACCACGUCUUCUCCGCCAGUUUCCGCAACAUGCAGCUGAAGAAAAUCAAGCGUGCCGAGAAGAAGGGCACUGAGAGCGUCAUGGACGAGAAGUUCGCUCUCUUCUUUUACACAACCACGUCGGUGAAUGACUACCACAUCCGCGUCUGGACCCUUUCUCUGCCUGUGGUGGUGAUCGUGCACGGCAAUCAGGAGCCCCAGUCGUGGGCCACCAUUACCUGGGACAAUGCCUUCGCGGAGGUUAUCCGCGAACCGUUUGUAAUCACCGAUCGGGUCACCUGGCCCCAGCUAUCGGCGGCACUAAACACAAAGUUCGGAUCCAGCACACAGCGCUUCCUGACGGCGGACAACCUGGAGUUCCUCUUUGAGAAACUUCAGCGGGAGGAGCGCUCCGAGUAUAUUACGUGGAACCAAUUCUGCAAGGAGCCCAUGCCCGACCGGACGUUCACUUUCUGGGAAUGGUUCUUUGCCAUCAUGAAACUCACCAAAGACCACAUGUUGGGCAUGUGGAAGGCUGGCUGCAUCAUGGGCUUCAUCAACAAGGCCAAGGCGCAGGAUGCCUUGUUGCGUUCGAAUACGGGAAUCGGGACCUUCCUGCUUCGCUUCUCCGACAGCGAGCUCGGUGGUGUCACCAUUGCCUACGUGAACGAAAUGGGAUCGGUCACCAUGCUGGCUCCUUGGACGGCCCGUGACUUCCAGGUCCUUAACCUGGCUGAUCGCAUCCGCGACUUGGAUGUUCUUCGCUGGCUUCACCCCUCUGACACCACUAUGGUGGCCCAGCUGCGCGACCGCGCCUUCGGCGAGUUCUUCUCGAGGCGUCAGGAACGAAACCCCCGCUCUCUAGAACCCUCCCCCGGAUAUGUGCCGAGCACGCUGCACGUCCAGGUCUGUAGCAGCAACGGCGAUGGUGGAUCCAUCAGCGGCACUCCGCAGCACGUGCCGCAGCAAGACACCUUACCAAUGGGAAACGGUGAUUUCGGAAUGACGGACUUUGAUUCGAUGACGAACUUUGAGGUAUAUAAACUAAACUAAUUGUAGUGUAAAAUCUAGAAAAAAGCCAAGCCUAUGUAUAAAUCGCGAUUAGCACCGGAGCUGUUGCCGCCAGAAUGAGAGUUCGACGUGGAAGUUUUUGAAACUGUUUCAACGACCGGCGCCCGACUCAUUCUGCCAUUCGAGCAGCUUUAUUUAAUGUUAUCUAAAUGUAAUUUUAAGAUUAUGGAAAGCAUCGUAGAGGCGGGUUUUGUUAGCUUUUGUGAAUCGCCAAACAACCUCCAGAACAACAUCCACCACAACAACAUGAAUUUGAACUACCAGAGCAAUGCAUGCAAAUUGCGACACCUGAACACAAACACCUUUGCCACACAACCAGAACAUUUCUUAUAUCGUGAUUAUGAUUGUGUCUGACGUAUGCAGCCAGUUCCUUAUGGAAUGCCUGCCUUGUAUAAACCUAUGGAAUGUGUCCCGAGCAUGUGUUAUUCGUUUUGUAUUUUUAUGUAUAACUCUUUAUAUAUGUAGACAUAUACUUUGAUUUUUUUGUACCAUUGCGUUUUUCUGUGACAAAGCAUUACUUUUAAACGAUGCGACCUGCGACCGAUGGCGAGGAUAACUGGCUGGCGGAGCAUCGCUUUAGUUAGUUAGUAACUAUUUGUUGAAUCUAAAUUUAUGAGUUUAAUUUGAAUCGAUUACGUUUAACAACUAAGUGUAAAAUUUACCAUAUUUUGCGUGCUAAGACCUAUGUUUAGAGCGAUUUAGAGCGACGAAGAGGAAAUCGAACGACGAGCAGCCCUGCGAGAUAAGAAUUGCGUUAAUUUUAGUUAUGUAUCAUGUAAGAACCAUUGUGAAUUUGCUUUAUGUCAAAACACCCUCCUUUAAUUGGCUUCCAAUGCUGAAAGUGCGUAAAAUUUAACCAAUCCAUGUAUAUUUUUAGUUUGUUUGAGUCAGGGCACAGAUUGCAAUGCAUUUCAAAUGCAAUAGCCUAUUGCCUUUAGUCAGUUUACCAGAGACACGAGGGGAACCAACACAAAGUUUAUAUAUAUGCGACAAUGUAAGCAUAAUCAUCUAUGUAACAACUACAAUAACACACGAGUACACUAAGCUUUGCACGUGAACCUUUAUAAGACUUAAGACCACCCUCAAAAUAAAUGAGUAACUUAGUAAACAUUUCAAAAACA
rnacentral:misc_RNA from 1 species